rnacentral:rRNA from 1 species
CUACGAAGGUCCCGAGCGUUAUUCGGAAUCACUGGGCGUAAAGGGAGCGUAGGCGGCGCGGUAAGUCAGAUGUGAAAUCUCAGAGCUCAACUCUGAAACUGCAUUCGAUACUGCCGUGCUAGAGUAAUCGAGAGGUAACUGGAAUUCUCGGUGUAGCAGUGAAAUGCGUAGAUAUCGAGAGGAAGACCAACGGCGAAGGCAGGUUACUGGACAUUUACUGACGCUGAGGCUCGAAGGCUAGGGUAGCGAAAGGAAUUAGAAACCCCAGUAGUCC